rnacentral:lncRNA from 1 species
AUUGGAGUAAUUCAUUAACAAGCCAAGGAACACCAAGGAUGGAGAGAGGCAUGGAAGUGAUUUUCUCUUGGAGGACUCAGGAGGAACCAACCCUGACAACACCUUGAUUUCAGACUUCUAACCUCUAGAAAUAUUCAACAAAGACAACCAGACGGCUCUGUGUGGUGUUUGGAGAGCAGUCCCUGUUGAAGCUCUUCUGCAGACUUUGAUCCUGGACGGCUAGAACUAGAAGAGAGCAGGAAGAGACCAAAAACGAAGAUAAGAAAUCAACAACUUACCUUUUUCACCCGACCUGCCCUCACUUUAGAACCCUAAGUUUGAAGUUUACUUAGUGAAAGAGAGUGAGAAAGAGAUCAAUGAUCAUUCAGAUGACUCUGAAGGUUUAAACUGGUCUGAAAGGAGUUUGCUUGCUUAUAAGGUGCUUAUUUGUUUAUUUGUUUGUUUGUUUAUUUUAUGGUGGCAAAAUACUCAAGAACAUGAAAUUUACCAUUUUUAAAUAUAGAGUAAAGGCAGUGGG